UGGGGAAUAUUGCACAAUGGGCGCAAGCCUGAUGCAGCCAUGCCGCGUGUAUGAAGAAGGCCUUCGGGUUGUAAAGUACUUUCAGUCGGGAGGAAGGUGGUAAGGUUAAUAACCUUAUCAAUUGACGUUACCGACAGAAGAAGCACCGGCUAACUCCGUGCCAGCAGCCGCGGUAAUACGGAGGGUGCAAGCGUUAAUCGGAAUUACUGGGCGUAAAGCGCACGCAGGCGGUUGAUUGAGUCAGAUGUGAAAUCCCCGGGCUUAACCCGGGAAUUGAAUCUUAUACUGGUCAGCUAGAGUCUUGUAGAGGGGGGUAGAAUUCCAUGUGUAGCGGUGAAAGGCGUAGAGAUGUGGAGGAAUACCGGUGGCGAAGGCGGCCCCCUGGACAAAGACUGACGCUCAGGUGCGAAAGCGUAGGGAGCAAACAGG
rnacentral:rRNA from 1 species